GUUCUUCUUCUCCUAUUUGAUGUUGCCGUCAGGGAGUCAGAUUACCUAGAUAAUCCAUUCGUGACAUCUUCUUGCGUUCAUGGAAGAGUUGCCGGGCACAUGUAACUGUCAAUUCAAGAGCAUGGGCGGCGUGGUUUUACUGUGGGUGUUGAGGAGCGGGGAGGGUGAGGAGGACGAAGGUGGGGGAAGGAGCAGCGAGUCAGGUGAUGGGUUAGGCCCACCGGUCGAGGGGGAGGGGAGGACGGCCACUGCUCGCCACCUCCCUGCCUCGUUUGCUGCAUCGUCGCCCUCCUAUCCACUGCUCUUUGUCCUCCGCGACACAGCUCUGACCACAGUAGCUUGUUGCCUCCCGCUUCCUUCCUUGCAUGCUAACCACUGCCUCACCAGAUUGGUGUUGAACAUAAUAAGAAUUCUGUUGGGGAGAAAAGCAAGUGCAAAGAGGAUGGGGGCUCUACAACAAUCAGUUGCAAGGUGUGUAUGGCUGUAUGCCUACCAAAUUCUACUUAAUUCUGUUGCUUACAAGUCUCUAAGGCGUCGCCUCGCCUUAUGCCUCAGCGCUUAGGCAGUGAGGCGCCCCCCAGCGCCUCGCCUCGCCUUACCGCCUUAAAAACAUAGGAUGCAAUAUAUGAGCACUUGGAAUGCAGUAGACAUAUGUUUAUAGUAGUGUAAUUGUAGGAUUCCUGAUUUGUGGUGCAUAGACCACCAGGAUUAGUUAGUUUUUGUAGUUCCUGUAUUUUAUUUCUUACUACAUUUUUCUGGGUCGUUUCAAAAUUUCUGCUCUACACAGAAUCUUAAGAAGUUUGGGUAUGCACACAGGUCCUAAUAAUAAUGAGCUGUUUAGUGCAAUGCAUGUGGGCUGGUUACUUCUUUUAUUUUCUUUUUUACGUUGUAUGUUCUUGGAGGUCCCCUUUUCUCUCUUCUGUUGAUCAAGUUUUCUUCUUCUUUCUUCUGCUUAUCAGGGUUUCUUCCUUUCCUUUUUUUCUGGAAGUUGCAUUUAUUGUGUGACCUAUGUAUUGUCAUUAUUCUUGCUUCAUUGAUCGUGUUUAUAUUCUGGGUUUGGCCCGACGUUGUGUUUUCGUUUGCCUCAUGACAUUCAUAUUUUGUGGUUGCGUGUGUAUCAUGGUGUGCUUUGCCUGCUUUUUCAUGCUUGUGUGAAUUGACCAUGGUCUGUUCUUGUUGGGGUAAAGCCUGAACUGCCGGGUACACUUUGUUUAUUGCCCUUAUUCUGGUUCUAUCAGUGGAGAUCCUUGUUUUCAAAUAGCAGGGAUAGAGGGACAGAAAAGAUAUAUUUGUCGCGGCGCUGCAAGUGUUGCCCCCCUCCUCCCCAAGGGCAAGGUGAAGAAAGGUGCCUAUGUGGUUUUUCUGCAGCUCGCAGCGAGGAUUGCUGUGUUCAACCUGCACAAGAAUGCCAAGAAGUCCUUCUCGAAGACGAUUAAGGACAUGUAUCUGCACUACAACGAGAGAUUUGGGCUGCUUCUUUGUGGCUUCCAAACUUGAAAUGUUUGUUUGGAAGUUAGUUUAGUUUUUUGUUGUGGAUUCACAGCUUCUCACAUGUACCAUCCUCUUAGACCUUUAGAUUUUUAAAGAAACUAAAUGAAGAUAUGAUGGUAUGGUCUCAAUAGUACAACUUAAAGCCUUACAUGC